CUUCAGGAAAAGGAAGCGUGAGGAGAAUAAGGGGAAAUAUAUUAAGAAACCUCCCAACGCGUUUAUGCUUUUCCUAAAAAGCGAGAGGAAGACUGUGCAGGAAGAGCUCGGCAUUAGGAACAGUGCCGCCGUCAACAAAGUUCUUUCUGAACGCUGGAAGUCUUUGGAGGCAAACAAAAGAGAGCUCUUUGAAGCAGAAGCCCAAAUAGAAGCUCAUAUCCAUGCUUUGAAGAACCCCGGCUGGACCAACAAAGCGAACUACGGGAAAAAGAGUAAAAAAUCAAAGACUAAAGCUCCACCUCUGCCUCCACCCUCCUGCUGAUGGGAAUGUGUAAUGAACAUCACUAACAUACUAACGGUAAGUAUCAUUACUCAAAACAUCACUUCAUUUUAUGAUGAUUUUAUUUCAAAUUAGUUUUUCCACAAAU
rnacentral:lncRNA from 1 species